rnacentral:rRNA from 1 species
UACGUAGGUGGCAAGCGUUGUCCGGAUUUAUUGGGUUUAAAGGGUGCGUAGGCGGCCCUGUAAGUCAGUGCUGAAAUAUCCCGGCUUAACCGGGAGGGUGGCAUUGAUACUGCAGGGCUUGAGUGAACUCGAAGUAGGCGGAAUUGACGGUGUAGCGGUGAAAUGCUUAGAUAUCGUCAAGAACACCGAUAGUGAAGACAGCUUACUAGGUUUCAACUGACGCUGAGGCACGAAAGUGUGGGGAUCAAACAGG